AUUGAACGCUGGCGGCAGGCCUAACACAUGCAAGUCGAACGAGUGGCGGACGGGUGAGUAAUGUCUGGGAAACUGCCCGAUGGAGGGGGAUAACUACUGGAAACGGUAGCUAAUACCGCAUACCAUCGGAUGUGCCCAGAUGGGAUUAGCUUGUAGGUGAGGUAACGGCUCACCUAGGCGACGAUCCCUAGCUGGUCUGAGAGGAUGACAAGCCAGACGUGAACUGAGACACGGUCCAGACUACUACGGGAGGCAGGAGGGGGGAAUAUUGCACAAUGGGCGCAAGCCUUAUGCAGACAUGGCGCGUGUAGGAAGAAGGCCUUCGGGUUGUAAAGUACUUUCAGCGGGGAGGCGGUACAGGCAGAAGAAGCACCGGCUAACUCCGGGCCAGCAGCCGCGGUAAUAC
rnacentral:rRNA from 1 species